rnacentral:rRNA from 1 species
UACGGGGGGGGCAAGCGUUGUUCGGAAUUACUGGGCGUAAAGGGUCUGUAGGCGGCCAACUCAGUCGGACGUGAAAUCCCCCGGCUCAACCGGGGAACUGCGUCCGAUACUGGAUGGCUUGAAUCCGGGAGAGGGAUGCGGAAUUCCAGGUGUAGCGGUGAAAUGCGUAGAUAUCUGGAGGAACACCGGUGGCGAAGGCGGCAUCCUGGACCGGUAUUGACGCUGAGAGACGAAAGCCAGGGGAGCAAACGGG